CCACGGCCGAUCUGCUUGCAGCUGGGGUUCACCUCCUUUGAGAAAUUGCCAUUUUGGGAGGCAUGGACAAACGCCACCGACAUCUGCCGACAAGCGCACACCUCCGGGGAACCAACAUCUGAGAAAUGCAAUUUGAGCAUUUCAGUGCCACAAAGAAAAGACAAACAAUGCUGGAAAAACGAGGGGAUAAACACGCUGCCGAGUUGAUGCUGGACAAACAUGUCGCGUUCUCUCCAAUUCACAAAUGGCCCUGCUACGUUCAGCGCUCACAGAUCCCCCCCUCAGGGAUGCGGUCCUUUAAGAUGACAGGAGAAGGAUGUGUGCUCUUAAAAGAAGAGAACAAGGGAAUUAGUCUUCAUCAAAUGCUGAUCUUGGAGGAGAAAAUCAGCAAGCAGAGAAGUCAGGUCCACAGGCCAAGUUGUUGAAGCAGCAGCUCAGGGGAAUUGAACGGUUCAUUAAUGUCUUUUGGCCUGAGAGAGCUACAAGAACUGGAAAAAGAUAAUUUGACAGUUUUAUUGACUGUGAUUGUAAGUUUGACCAAAUAAAGUCCUUGCACU